rnacentral:rRNA from 1 species
AAACUGGAGAGUUUGAUCCUGGCUCAGAACGAACGCUGGCGGCGUGCUUAACACAUGCAAGUCGAACGCGAAAGUUUCUUUCGGGAAGCGAGUAGAGU